AUUGAACGCUGGCGGAAUGCUUUACACAUGCAAGUCGAACGGCAGCACGGACUUCGGUCUGGUGGCGAGUGGCGAACGGGCGAGUAAUGUAUCGGAACGUGCCCAGUCGUGGGGGAUAACGUAGUGAAAAUUACGCUAAUACCGCAUACGAUCUAUGGAUGAAAGCGGGGGAUCGCAAGACCUCGCGCGAUUGGAGCGGCCGAUAUCAAAUUAGGUAGUUGGUGGGGUAAAGCCCCACCAAGCCAACGAUCUGUAGCUGGUCUGAGAGGACGACCAGCCACACGGGAACUGAGACACGGUCCAGACUCCUACGGGAGGCAGCAGUGGGGAAUUUUGGACAAUGGGCGAAAGCCUGAUCCAGCCGUUCCGCGUGCAGGAUGAAGGCGCUCGGGUCGUAAACUGCUUUUGUACAGAACGAAAAGGUUUCUACUAAUACUAGGAGCUCAUGACGGUACUGUAAGAAUAAGCACCGGCUAACUACGUGCCAGCCGCCGCUGUAA
rnacentral:rRNA from 1 species